UUUCGCAAUGCCCGAAAGGGUGACGAAGCGACGCCGCGUGAGCGAAGAAGGCCCUAGGGUUGUAAAGCUCUGUCGGGGGUUAUGAAAUGUAGAUCGGUUAAUACCCGGUUUAUUUGGCAAAGGCCCCAAAGGAAGCCACGGCUAACUCUGUGCCAGCAGCCGCGGUAAUACAGAGGUGGCAAGCGUUGUUCGGUAUUAUUGGGCGUAAAGAGCACGUAGGUGGUUUUGUAAGUCAGAUGUGAAAGCCUUCUGUUCAAAGGAAGAACGGCAUCUGAAACUGCGGAUCUUGAGUGUAGGAGGGGAGAGUGGAACUUCUGGUGGAGCGGUGAAAUGCGUAGAUAUCAGAAGGAACGUCGGCGGCGAAAGCGACUCUCUGGCCUAUUACUGACACUGAGUGUGCGAAAGUUAGGGGAGCAAACGGGAUUAGAUACCCCGGUAGUCCUAACUGUAAACGAUGGGCACUAAGUAGAGGGGUUUUA
rnacentral:rRNA from 1 species